GACGAACGCUGGCGGCGUGCUUAACACAUGCAAGUCGAACGGAAAGGCCCUGCUUGCAGGGUACUCGAGUGGCGAACGGGUGAGUAACACUUGGGUGAUCUGCCCUGCACUUCGGGAUAAGCCUGGGAAACUGGGUCUAAUACCGGAUAGGAGCCAUUUUUAGUGUGAUGGUUGGAAAGUUUUUUCGGUGUAGGAUGAGCUCGCGGCCUAUCAGCUUGUUGGUGGGGUAAUGGCCUACCAAGGCGGCGACGGGUAGCCGGCCUGAGAGGGUGGACGGCCACAUUGGGACUGAGAGACGGCCCAGACACCUACGGGAGGCAGAAGUGGGGAAUAUUGCACAAUGGGCGCAAGCCUGAUGCAGCGACGCCGCGUGGGGGAUGACGGCCUUCGGGUUGUAAACUCCUUUCGCUAGGGACGAAGCUUUUUGUGACGGUACCUAGAUAAGAAGCACCGGCUAACUACGUG
rnacentral:rRNA from 1 species